GAUGAACGCUGGCGGCGUGCCUAAUACAUGCAAGUCGAGCGAACAGACGAGGAGCUUGCUCCUCUGACGUUAGCGGCGGGCGGGUGAGUAACACGUGGAUAACCUACCUAUAAGACUGGGAUAACUUCGGGAAACCGGAGCUAAUACCGGAUAAUAUAUUGAACCGCAUGGUUCAAUAGUGAAAGACGGUUUUGCUGUCACUUAUAGAUGGAUCCGCGCCGCAUUAGCUAGUUGGUAAGGUAACGGCUUACCAAGGCAACGAUGCGUAGCCAACCUGAGAGGGUGAUCGGCCACACUGGAACUGAGACACGGUCCAGACUCCUACGGGAGGCAGCAGUAGGGAAUCUUCCGCAAUGGGCGAAAGCCUGACGGAGCAACGCCGCGUGAGUGAUGAAGGUCUUCGGAUCGUAAAACUCUGUUAUUAGGGAAGAACAAAUGUGUAAGUAACUAUGCACGUCUUGACGGUACCUAAUCAGAAAGCCACGGCUAACUACGCG
rnacentral:rRNA from 1 species